rnacentral:misc_RNA from 1 species
AAUCCGAGAAUUUCACCUCCAACGUGUUAAUACGAAUGCCCCCAAUUAUCCCUAUUAAUCAUUACCUUAGUUCUAGAAACCAACAAAAUAGAACCAAAGUCCUAUGUUAUUAUUCCAUGCUAAUAUAUUCAAGGCGCUUGCCUGCCGUAAACACUCUAAUUUCCUCAAAGUAAAAGUCCUGAAUACCGGACCACGCAAUCAAGCGCAGCACCGUUCCCCAGGAGGAUGCCAGAGCCGACACAGAUACACGCACAUAGUGCGGACCGCGCGUCUCCGACAGAAAUCCAACUACGAGCUUUUUAACCGCAACAACUUUAAUAUACGCUAUUGGAGCUGGAAUUACC